GACGAACGCUGGCGGCGUGCCUAAUACAUGCAAGUAGAACGCACAGUUUAUACCGUAGCUUGCUACACCAUAAACUGUGAGUUGCGAACGGGUGAGUAACGCGUAGGUAACCGGCCUGGUAGCGGGGGAUAACUAUUGGAAACGAUAGCUAAUACCGCAUAAUAUUAAUUAUUGCAGGAUAAUUGAUUGAAAGAUGCAAUUGCAUCACUACAAGAUGGACCUGCGUUGUAUUAGCUAGUAGGUGAGGUAACGGCUCACCUAGGCGACGAUACAUAGCCGACCUGGGAGGGUGAUCGGCCACACUGGGACUGAGACACGGCCCAGACGCCUACGGGAGGCAGCAGUAGGGAAUCUUCGGCAAUGGACGAAAGUCUGACCGAGCAACGCCGCGUGAGUGAAGAAGGUUUUCGGAUCGUAAAGCUCUGUUGUAAGAGAAGAACGGGUGUGAGAGUGGAAAGUUCACACUGUGACGGUAUCUUACCAGAAAGGGACGGCUAACUACGUG
rnacentral:rRNA from 1 species